GGGAGCCGGAUGAGCCGAGAGGUUCACGUCCGGUUCUGAGAGGGCCUGAUGGUGCGAUUCCAU
rfam:Paenibacillus sp. VKM B-2647 B-2647_024, whole genome shotgun sequence.